rnacentral:rRNA from 2 species
GUAGUCCGGAUUGGAGUCUGCAACUCGACUCCAUGAAGUCGGAAUCGCUAGUAAUCGUGAAUCAGAAUGUCACGGUGAAUACGUUCCCGGGCCUUGUACACACCGCCCGUCACACCAUGGGAGUGGGCUGCAAAAGAAGUGGGUAGUUUAACCUUUCGGGGAGGACGCUCACCACUUUGUGGUUCAUGACUGGGGUGAAGUCGUAACAAGGUAGCCCUAGGGGAACCUGGGGCUGGAUCACCUCCUUAUACGAAGAUAC